rnacentral:rRNA from 1 species
AUCGUGGGGCUCCGGCCCUUUCGAGAUAGAACCCUUGCCUUUUUGAGUACCGUCCGUUUCCUCGGCAGGCUCGCCUGCCAGUGGGGACCCAAACAAACCCUUUGCAACACCUGUAAUCGUCUGAGAAAACAAAACAAUAAAUCAAAACUUUCAACAACGGAUCUCUUGGUUCUGGCAUCGAUGAAGAACGCAGCGAAAUGCGAUAAGUAGUGUGAAUUGCAGAAUUCAGUGAAUCAUCGAAUCUUUGAACGCACAUUGCGCCCUUUGGUAUUCCUUAGGGCAUGCCUGUUCGAGCGUCAUUCAAACCUUCAAGCUCUGCUUGGUGUUGGGUGUCUGUCCCGCCCCCGGGCGCGGACUCGCCUCAAAUUCAUUGGCGGCCGGUACGUUGGCUUCGAGCGCAGCAGAAACGCGAACUCGAUCCCGGCGGGUCGGCUCCCAGAAGCUAUACUCAAUGAUUUUGACCUCGGAUCAGGUAGGGAUACCCGCUGAACUUAAGCAUAUC